AAAGAUUUUACUGCUGUGGUUCUCGAAAUGUAAGUAAAGUUUUCGAAUAAACAUCAUAUGUUUACAUUUUUUGUGCUUAAAACUGUCCAAUAUUUCACUACAGGCAAAUAGCUGUCAUUAUUUCAAAUGGCUUGAUGAUGAGCCUUUGGAGGACGAUGCUAUAAUUACUCGAUUGAAUAAUGAGCGUCUACAUCUGCAGGACACUCUUCACGCUUAUGAGUAAAGGGUGCAAGAACUCAAGAAUGCAAUUAUCCUGGAGAGAAGCAGGAAGAUGCAUAAGGCAUUGACUUCCGUAGUAGGAUUAGUUUGUUUAAUGAUCGCAUUGUUUGUGGCUUUUCUCGUGAUUUAAAUGUUGUGUUGUUAAAUUUGUCGCAAUUUGGUUUCAAGCACUUGUAAUGACAUAUUUUCAAGUUAAUGUCACGG
rnacentral:lncRNA from 1 species